AUUGAACGCUGGCGGCAUGCCUUACACAUGCAAGUCGAACGGCAGCGGACCUUCGGGUGCCGGCGAGUGGCGAACGGGUGAGUAAUAUAUCGGAACGUACCUUUCAGUGGGGGAUAACGUAGCGAAAGUUACGCUAAUACCGCAUAUUCUGUGAGCAGGAAAGCAGGGGAUCGCAAGACCUUGCGCUGAUUGAGCGGCCGAUAUCAGAUUAGCUAGUUGGUGAGGUAAAGGCUCACCAAGGCGACGAUCUGUAGCGGUCUGAGAGGAUGAUCCGCCACACGUAGGAACUGAGACGACGGUCCAGACUCCGUACGGGAGCAGCAGGUGGGUAAUUUUGGACAAGUGGGCG
rnacentral:rRNA from 1 species